UUCCGGCGAGGCGACCGGAGCGCCGUGUUCCUGUACCUAGCCUCCAUCCGCGGAGCCUCGGAGGACCCGCAUUGCCACGGCAUUUGGCAAGCGGGCUGGGCGCUUGGUACGCCGCCGCCAGAAAGGUCUGAUCUUGGAGCUGGGUCUUCACCGACAGAGGAGCAUGCUCUCGGAGCACCGCCGCCAGAAAGAAUUCCAUGUGAUUCGAGGAAGUCAGCUCGCGGGGGGCCGGUGGAGGUUGAAGGCUCCACAGGGGUUUCUUGUGAUUCGAGGAACUCAGCGCAUGCAGCGCCGCUGGACUUUGACGGCUCCACGGGAUGGUAUGAUGAUGAGGAUGAGUUAAUCAAGUUGGCCGAAUAUGCCCACUGGCAAGCGAAAUCGAGCAGUCUUUGCGUGUCCCAUGUGAGCAGGGACGAAGCUAGAAAAAGUGGGCACUGGUGUUAACCGCUUCCGAGGCUAAGCCGCUAGCAGAAAUUAUAGUGGUGCAACAACAUAGAUAAUGGCCGAGAGUAAUAUAAAAAGCAACAAUAUGCAGGUGAUAUUAUUAUUACAUCUAAAAAAAUCAUACCGAGUAGCGAGUAUUGGCUGAGCAAAGUCAUAAAAUAACACUUCUUUACAUAUUUCGGAAAUAAUAGGCAAAAGGAUGACUUUGAAACGUUUCAUUUGUAACUUUCUGUAAAGGAUGAACAAAAGAACAUAUUAUAUUCACAACAAUAGUAAGAAAGAAAUAGUGCAAAAAAUAGGUAUCGUUAAGGAAAAAAUAAAAUGAUACGAGACUCACAUUUCAUAACUUCCCUUCUCGAUCUUUCAUCUUCUUAAAUAGAUCAAUCACAUUGUCAUUCGUUAUUGUAGAAAAUAUGUCUUUCUCCACAUAGCAAAUCAAGUGCUGGUCUAACUGGCCUUGAAGGCCCUGCCACAUUACUAUCUAGCGCUGGUCGUUUCCCUUUCAACAAAAAUUUAUCCAUAUCUUCCUGGUCCUGGGCAAAUCAAAGAAAAUAAACUAAAAAAAUUACUUAGCCAAUAGCCAUCAUGAAAUCAAUGCACCUGUAGAAUCGUAGUCUGUAGACAGUCUAGAGAUCGAGAGGCGAGAGAGAAGGUGCAAAUUACCUGGGAUUGGAAGAGCCAACACUUGCAAAUUAAAGAUUAUGCACUGGCGGACGGUCAGCCGAUGUCAACAUUCACCCGAUGAAACGGUGUCGAGUUCGCCGUCGUUCGUCGCCGAUUCGCUGCGGCGGCUGCGGAAUUAGGGUUCGAGAUGAGGAGGCGAAGAGACGAGGGCGUCUGUCUGUUCGCGUACACGUACAGCAGCCGGGUAGCGUACAUCGAUUAUUAUUUUUUUGAGACAAUGCGUACAUCGAUUAAUUGAUACAUAGUGCGUACGCAUUGGGCCUGGCCUUGUAUCGUUGUUUGCUGCCGCAGGCUGUUGAUUUCUUUUAGAACUUAAUGGAUUUUAUGGGCUAAGGCUUUAGGGAUUAGCUGGUCUGCUGCUGGGCUGGGGUCAAUGGAAUUUUUGGGCUGGGGUCAUACGCAGUUUUUGUUAAUACUAUUAGCUGAAAAGCCAGAAGGCACUGAUGUCAAUUGACACCAGUGAAUACAUGGGAGCUCCGUCCCUGCAUGUGAGUGGAAAUGCGUACUCAGUUCCUCAGAAGGAAAAACCAGAAUUAGGAGGUAACAAGCUACCUGCAAAAGAGGAUAGGCAAACUCCAGAAAAUGUAUCUGCAAAAGGAUUCUUGUGCCGGAGAACAAGGGUUCAGAAAAGGUCUUAAUCAAUUCUUGUGAGGAGAAAGGACAGUCCCUCACAGAGCAUCCUAAUGUCUCUGUUGAGGUGGCAGAGGCAGAGCUUCUUUGCACAAUAGGCCGGAGAGAUAGCAGGAGAAAGAAGAUCACCAAUCAUCGCGCUGAAUUGCAAUUGUUGCGGCUGAAUAUGCAACAUCUUGAUGCUCUGAGCAAGGAAGAGAAAACCAGUAACAUUAAGAAGAUGAGGUCCCUUUCAGAGAAGAUAAAGGGAGAAGAAAAGAUAUGUGUACUGGAUGAUGACGAUGUGCAUAUGAAGCAAGAUACACUAGAUAGGGCACGUCUAUGUAGUUCUGGAGCAUGAGCCCAAGAGAUCUUGGUAGUGCUAGUGAAUGUCGGUCUGAUACAGAUGUUGGAAUGCUGUAGAACGUUUGUAAACAAGUUCGGGAUGGUGCUUUUAAUCUUGGUUGAUAUCAGGGCCUGAAAGUUGGACAUACUAUUGAAAUACAGGGGCAGCUAUUAUUUUUCUCAAGAGAUGGUUAAAGGAAGGAUCAUCAAAGAAAUAAUGGUUAAAGGAAGCGAAGAUUGAUUUUGAUGAUCUGCAUCCCAUUUGACUUGUGGUGUAAUUUUUUUCUUCUGAAAAGUACAUUUCAGGAUGUUGGAAAAAUAUGUCCGAGAUUAGCUUAGGGUGAUUCAGUGCAUUACUUGGGUAAGGCAGUAGGUUAGGGUAAUGCAGUAUGUAUAUAACCUUAUAAUGAAGAACCAGGAACUGGGAAGUCAAGAAAGAUAUUAUGGGACUCCCUUGAAGCAGGGGAGAAGUCACUGGAAGUGUUUGAAGUGAGAAAGACGUGCGCUCAAUCGGCAAAAGAUGCCAAUAAAAGGGACUAAAAAGAAUUGAGAUUGUCUAAAGGUCCAAGCUCAUAUGUGAGGAUUCACACAUGCUUGAAGGGAAAAUUUUGACUUUGUGGUCUGUUCCUCGGAGUACCUGCAAAUUUGAAUACAGUAUCGCUUAUUUCUAAGCUGUGCAGCACAGACAAUGGGUUCA